rnacentral:rRNA from 1 species
GAUGAACGCUGGCGGCGUGCUUAACACAUGCAAGUCGAACGGAAAGGCUCCUGCUUGCAGGGGUACUCGAGUGGCGAACGGGUGAGUAACACGUGGGUGAUCUGCCCUGCACUUCGGGAUAAGCCUGGGAAACUGGGUCUAAUACCGGAUAGGACCACAUUUGGAUGGUGUGGUGGAAAGUUUUUCGGUGUGGGAUGAGCUCGCGGCCUAUCAGCUUGUUGGUGGGGUAAUGGCCUACCAAGGCGUCGACGGGUAGCCGGCCUGAGAGGGUGUACGGCCACAUUGGGACUGAGAUACGGCCCAGACUCCUACGGGAGGCAGCAGUGGGGAAUAUUGCACAAUGGGCGCAAGCCUGAUGCAGCGACGCCGCGUGGGGGAUGACGGCCUUCGGGUUGUAAACUCCUUUCGCUAGGGACGAAGCGCAAGUGACGGUACCUGGAGAAGAAGCACCGGCUAACUACGUG